rnacentral:rRNA from 1 species
GAUCAUGGCUCAGGAUGAACGCUAGCUACAGGCUUAACACAUGCAAGUCGAGGGGAAACAACAUCGAAAGCUUGCUUUUGAUGGGCGUCGACCGGCGCACGGGUGAGUAACGCGUAUCCAACCUGCCCACCACUUGGGGGAUAACCUUGCGAAAGUAAGACUAAUACCCAAUGACAUCCCACGAAGACAUCUGAAUGGGAUUAAAGAUUUAUCGGUGAUGGAUGGGGAUGCGU